UGUUAGGUUGGUGCAACAGUAAUUGCUGUUUUUGCCAUUGAAAGUAAUGGCAAAAACUUCAAUUACUUUUGCACCAACCUAAUA
rnacentral:pre_miRNA from 2 species